ACAUUCAAUGAAAAAAGGUACGAGCGGACAAGCGAUUAAGGGGGUAUGGAACAUCUGUUGAUAUUAAUGUAGAUAAAAGUACAUUAUAUUCAAAAUACUUUCACCAGUUUAGAAUUUUCAAAUUUUACAAUAUUCAACCAAAAAAUAGCUUUAAAAAAAUAUGGAGAGCUCAAAAUUGUAAAACCCCAAGCGAGAUUCAAACUCAUGACUUACAGAUUUGUUUUAAACCCUCUAAUCCAUUGGCUACGCUGUUAGGUGACAAUAUACAACAUGUACUUAAUAUAUGAUUACACUUCAUUUUAUUGUUUAUUUCGAUAAACAAUACGCCACAACAUAGUGUCACUUAAAUAAUGAAUUAUUUUUUCUGUAGGAAUAUUUUUGGGGCAGUACAUAAAUUAAUUUGUGCAGAUUAUUAUAUUUUUUCUACUUGUUUCUGUUUAUAAAUUAAGAACUAUUGAAAAUACGAAAAAUAGAGGGGAAAUAGAACAGAAAACAGUGCAUAAAAAUCUAGGUGCAGGAAAUUAAUUAUAUUAUUAUUUGUUCAGUUUUAUUAAAGUACGAGCACAUGGGAUUUGACAAAAAAGAAAUUAUUGGUAUGGCCUAAUGUGAAACAAAAUCUCAAGCUUUAACUAGUUUCAAAGAUCAAAAUUUUGGAGUAGUAUGUGCUAUUGACAUAAUUGUGUGAAUGUUAAUCAGUAGGAAGUUGUACAUUGUAAAAUACUCAGCCAAGGCACAGUUCUUGGUGAGAGAAUAGAGUUAUAUCUUGUUUGAUUUGAUUUUAUAUGAUUUAUCACUGUAAACAUAACUACAGAGUCUCCUUUCAUUUUUUAUGUUAUUAAUCGUUUGUUACAUAUACUUGUAAUUCUUUUUUUUUUUUUUUUAAUGUUUAAUUUAUUUGUUUGUAAUUACAGAAAUUGUACCUAAGAAAAUAAUCUUUAUUGUUGAGUUUUAAAAACAUUUUUAUUAAUCAUGUUAAUACAUAUGAUGU
rnacentral:misc_RNA from 1 species